GAGGCAGUGAGCAGGGGCCAUGAAGACGGAUUCAGAAACUCCCCCGGGAGGAGAAGACGUCUGAGCCACCCCUGUGCCACCAGCAGGAGUCACUCCAGCUCCUGAAAAAGCCACUGUGGAGGGAGCUGUUUCCAAUUAAAGCCCUUGGUGAUAUCGCAGGACUGUAUCUCUCUUUUCCCCUCCUCCUUACGGGGAGCAUCUUCCAAAUGCCUCACUGGUUUUACAUGUAUUAUCCUGUCUCCCUAACCUAAAACAAAAAACUUAAACCUUAUGGGUAGCUUUUUUUUUUUUUUUCAUUUUGAAACCAUCUUGAACUUACUGAAAGUUGCAGAACAAAGAACUCCUAGUUACCUUUUACCCAGACUCAACAAUUGUGUAAACCCCCACCAUUUUCUCUGUCAUUUCUUUUCUCUCUCUCUCCCUGUGUUUUCUGAGCCAUCUGACAGGAAUCCCGUUAUUCCUGAACACCUCCCUGUUGUGUUUCCUAAGAACAAGGAUGUUCUCUUAGGUAACUUCAGGACAGUUGCUAGAAACAAGAAACUCAAUAUUGAUACACUAGUAUCAUCAAUUGUCCCGAAAAUGUCUUCCAGCUGCUUUCUUGCCAAGUGCAGGAUCGAAUCUGACAUCGCGAGUCACACGUCAUUGUCACGUCCCUUGAGUGUAUUUUUAAUCUGGAACGGUUCUGUCUUUAUCUUCAUGAGCUUCCCGUUUCUGAAGCAUACAGGCACAACUGUCUCAUAAGGUGUCCCUCAAUUUGUGUUUAUCUUAUGAUUCCAAUUUUGCUUUUUUUUUUUUUUUUGGCAGGAAGAGCAGAGAAGCAACACUGUAUCCUCCCCAGUGCAUCAUAUGAGGGGACACAUGAUGUAGUUUAAGUGUCUAGGAAACCUCCCCCUCCAACCCUGAGAAGAACAUGCCCAGCUAACAUACUAUUCCAAGAAGGAUAAGAGACACAUGAAGCAGAACCAUCCCAGCCGAUCUGAUGGGCAUGGUGGAGAGUAUGGAAUCAUCACAGAGGGAAGGACAGACUACUGGAGAAAGGUUACAGGUGAGUGAGCCUCAAAUGUCAGACCUCAAAGCAGGACGGAGUAUUUUUUCUGUACUUAAAGGGACAAUGUCUCCAUCACUCCUGGACACCUUUGCUAUAAGAAGCAGACAUUACCCCUAAUUUGCCUCGACUCCACUGUUUCUGUCUCUGGGCCCCAGUCUCCCCACCUGUGCCGACUGACCCCUAAGGGCUCCUCCAGCUCCAGAAGCCUUCCUGUUUGACCUCGCUGGGUCUUUCUUGUUCUGGUCCAAGUGCUGUGGGUCACUGGAGACCUGAGGCUCACAGCCCACUGGGCAUAACCCAAGGGCUUUUUCUUUGGCUCCUGCCUCCAUCUAGAGGUAAGUGCUGGUAGUGCAAGAAACACCACAUCCACCUCGCCCCAGCCAGCGUCUCUCCUACAUCACCCUUAAUCACGUUUUUAGGCACUUACCAUGUGGCAGACACCGCGAUAAGCACCUCACAUCUUUAUGCCACCCAACCCUCACACAGCAUUCUGGGGUAGGUUUUUCCAUCCCCACUUUACAGAGAGAAAAACUGAGGUUCACAGACUUUACGUUGCUCUAAAUAACCCAUCAUGGUGCAACAAGAAUUACAUCCCAAGUUGUCUAAGUACUAACAAUGUAUGCUCUUAAUUUCUGCGCUGCUCUGCCAAGCUUCUUGGCGGUCGUUCCAUUUCAAAACCACCUGCCAUCAACUCUCUGAGGAGCAGAAGGUGUUUCUGAACAUCUCUCUGCCCCUGGAAGUGCCUGUAGGGUGAGGCCCUGGACAGCAGAGGCUCGGGUACCAGACAAAACUGCGUUACAAUCCCGGCUGCUCCUCUUGGCCAUAAGACCUGGGAGUCACCUUUCUGGGGCUCAGCUCCACCAUCUGAAAAGCUAAAUGAGCUCAGAGAUGUCCAAGGACCUGCCCAAGAAGUUCGGUGAAGCCAUCAGUCAGCUUGACGGUGUCUCAUCAGCAGUGAGACACCAACAGUGUCUCACCAGCCUUCGUGUCCCUGGAAUAGUGGCUUAUCUCACUCCUGGGGCGGUGACAGCAUCUGCUCAUAUGCAGGACCAAAGUUCAACCAAAGUACAGGGCACCAGGACUCCAAGCAGAGGUGUGACGUGAUGUGACUUACAUCAUAAGAGGAUUCUGCUGUGCUGACACCAAUGAAGACGAGGGUGGAAGAAGCAGGGAGACCAGUUAGGAGGCCAUCGCAGUGAUCCAGAUCUGAACACGGAUCCUCGCACAAAUGGUUUGAAAAAGAGACACCCACAUCACUUCUCCAAUAUUUGGGCACUGAAAACUUGCACUAUUGGGAGACCCUGAGCAUUCUAGUCAGCAGCCCCCAUGCUGUGCGGCUGCCCGAGCGUCUCCCGAAUAGGGUGGUGAGCAGGAGCUAUGAAGAUGGGUUCAGAAACUCCCCUGGAGAAGAAACCAUCUGAGCCACCCCUGUGCCACCAGCAAGAGGUGCUCUGGCCACGGCGGGAGGAGCUGCCUCCAAUUAAAAGUCCUUGGUUGCAUCACAGGACUGGGUCCCUCUUCUUUUCCCUUCCCCCAGCCCUGCUUCUGAGAUUCCCUUGCAUGUGGAGCAAUUAGAACCCGGCAUCGCUUAUAGAGAAAUGUGGUUUAAUCCUUCUAAAGCCUUCUCGGUCACUCCUAACCAACCUAAUGAGGAAGUGCUUCGGAGAGGCUGGUUUUCAGUUAAAAUCCCUGAAGAGGAAGUCAGGGCUAACCAGAAAUGGACCAGGCCUCACUAGGACUGAAACCCAGAGUCAAAUCUAUCCCACCCCUACUUUUCUCAGAAGCAAAAGUAAAUCCUGUCUAAAGUAAUAUCCAGAGUGGGGGCACUUGGGUGGCUCAGUCGGUUAAGAAUCUGACUCCAGCUCAAGUCAUGAUCUCACGGUUCCUGAGUUCAAGCCCCGCGUCGGGCUCUGUGUUGACACCUCGGAGCCUGG